GCCUGGAUAGCUCAGUUGGUUAGAGCAUAAUGGGGAUAAUGCCAAGGUUGCAGGUUCAAUCCCCGUGUGGGCC